GGCCGCUUGGCAGAGUCUGGUUUAUUGCACUUGUCUUGAAAACAAGCAACGGUAAAACGUUCAGAGGUUCAAAUCCUCUAGCGGUCGCCA
rnacentral:tRNA from 1 species